rnacentral:rRNA from 1 species
CCUACGGGAGGCAGCAGUGAGGAAUAUUGGUCAAUGGACGCAAGCCUGAACCAGCCAAGUCGCGUGCAGGAAGACUGCCCUAUGGGUUGUAAACCUCUUUUGUACGGGGGCAAAACCCGCUACGUGUAGUGGGUUGAAAGUACCGUAUGAAUAAGGAUCGGCUAACUCCGUGCCAGCAGCCGCGGUAAUACGGAGGAUUCAAGCGUUAUCCGGAUUUAUUGGGUUUAAAGGGUGCGUAGGCGGUUCUUUAAGUUAGAGGUGAAAUGUCGGGGGUCAACCCCGGCACUGCCUCUGACACUGUCGGACUAGAGUAUAGUUGCGGUAGGCGGAAUGUGUGGUGUAGCGGUGAAAUGCAUAGAGAUCAUACAGAACACCGAUUGCGAAGGCAGCUUACCAGACUACGACUGACGUUGAGGCACGAGAGCGUGGGUAGCGAACAGGAUUAGAUACCCGGGUAGUC